rnacentral:rRNA from 1 species
AAUCAACGCUGGCGGCGUGCCUCAGACAUGCAAGUCGAACGAUUAAACUUCCCUUCGGGGAAGAUAUAAAGUGGCGCACGGGUGAGUAACACGUAAGUAAUCUACCUUCGAGUGGGGAAUAACAUCGGGAAACCGAUGCUAAUACCGCAUAACGCAGCGGCACCUUAUGGUGACAGUUGUUAAAGGAGCAAUCCGCUUGAAGAGGAGCUUGCGGCAGAUUAGCUAGUUGGUAAGGUAAUGGCUUACCAAGGCUACGAUCUGUAUCCGGUCUAAGAGGACGGUCGGACACACUGACACUGAAUAACGGGUCAGACUCCUACGGGAGGCAGCAGUCGGGAAUUUUGGGCAAUGGGCGAAAGCCUGACCCAGCAACGCCGCGUGAAGGAUGAAGUAUUUCGGUAUGUAAACUUCGAAAGAAUGGGAAGAAUUAAUGACGGUACCAUUUAUAAGCUCCGGCUAACUACGUGCCAGCAGCCGCGGUAAUACGUAGGGAGCAAGCGUUGUUCGGAUUUACGU